rnacentral:rRNA from 1 species
AGUGGAUGGGGAGCAACCUAGUUGUGCGUGUGUAAAGGUAGUGCCAAGAAAAGCGGUGAUCAUGAUGAAAAUCAAUUCCCGGUACCCGAAACCGACACAGGUGGGCAAGUAGAGAAUACUAAGGGGCGCGAGGUAACUCUCUCCAAGGAGCUCGGCAAAAUGACCCCGUAACUUAGGGAGAAGGGGUGCCACCGAGAGGUGGUCGCAGUGAAGAGGCCCAGGCGACUGUUUAGCAAAAACAUAGGUCUCUGCAAACUCGAAAGAGGAGGUAUAGGGGCUGACGCCUGCCCAGUGCCGGAAGGUUAAAGAAGUUGGUCAGUCUUAGGAUGAAGCUAGCGACUGAAGCCCCGGUGAACGGCGGCCGUAACUAUAACGGUCCUAAGGUAGCGAAAUUCCUUGUCGGGUAAGCUCCGACCCGCACGAAAGGCGUAACGAUCUGGGCGCUGUCUCGGAGAGAGGCUCGGCGAAAUAGGAUUGUCUGUGAAGAUACGGACUACCUGCAUUUGGACAGAAAGACCCUAUGAAGCUUUACUAUAGCUUGGAAUUGUGUUCGGGCUUCCUGUGCGCAGGAUAGGUGGGAGGCGUAGAAGGUAUUCUUGUGGGGAUACUGGAGCCAACGGUGAGAUACCACUCUCAGGAGGCUAGAAUUCUAACUUAAUUAAGGACAGUUUCAGGUGGGUAGUUUGACUGGGGCGGUCGCCUCCAAAAAGGUAACGGAGGCGUACAAAGGUUCCCUCAGACUGGUUGGAAAUCAGUCGAAGAGUGCAAAGGCAGAAGGGAGCUUGACUGCGAGAAGUACAGUUCGAGCAGGGUGGAAACACGGUCUUAGUGAUCCGACGGUGCUGUGUGGAAGGGCCGUCGCUCAACGGAUAAAAGUUACUCUAGGAUAACAGGCUGAUCUCCCCCAAGAGUUCACAUCGACGGGGAGGUUUGGCACCUCGAUGUCGGCUCAUCGCAACCUGGGGCGGAAGUACGUCCCAAGGGUUGGGCUGUUCGCCCAUUAAAGCGGUACGUGAGCUGGGUUCAGAACGUCGUGAGACAGUUCGGUCCAUAUCCGAUGUAGGCGUGAGAAUAUUGAGAGGAGCCUUCCUUAGUACGAGAGGACCGGGAAGGACGCACCGCUGGUGUACCUGUUAUGAUGCCAAUUGUAAACGCAGGGUAGCCAAGUGCGGAGAGGAUAACCGCUGAAAGCAUCUAAGUGGGAAGCCCACCUCAAGAUGAGUAUUCUGGUGUAAGGUCACGGGAAGACGACCCGUAAAUAGGCACGAGGUGGAAGUGCAGAGAUGUAUGAAGCCGAAGUGUACUAAUAGACCGUCGGCUUGAC